rnacentral:rRNA from 1 species
UUCCUACGGGGCGCAGCAGUGGGGAAUAUUGCACAAUGGGGGGAACCCUGAUGCAGCAAUGCCGCGUGGGUGAAGAAGCACUCCGGUGCGUAAAGCCCUGUCAGCAGGGAAGAAAAUGACAGUACCUGGACAAGAAGCCCCGGCUAACUACGUGCCAGCAGCCGCGGUAAUACGUAGGGGGCAAGCGUUAUCCGGAUUUACUGGGUGUAAAGGGAGCGUAGACGGCAUAGCAAGUCUGAAGUGAAAGCCCAAGGCUCAACCAUG